GAAGACCUUUCAGGGCAAAGAAAUCCUAUGGACAACUCCAAGGAAGACCUCCGAUUCUUCCUCCCUCGUUCUUGCUUGUAUAGUUGUCGACGAUGAAGAAAAUGAUUACACGAUUACGAUGGACUCUGUAAACUAGAACAGUGAAUAAUUUCAAAUUAUGGACUGGAUUAAUCGUGCUCUUCGAUUAGUGUCCCCUUCCCUUCUCCCUUGGAGUUUCAAGCACUUGCCCAAGUGUUCCACCAAAAGAAUGAGGCCCCUGUUCAUGAUACAGCUCUCAAAGUUGCUGCUAUAAGGGGUUUUCCCCCUGAAGGGAAACAGUUGCAUGCCCAUUUGAUAAAGUUUGGUUUUUGUCACGUUCUGUCAUUACAAAAUCAGAUCUUGAGUAUUUACAAGGCAAGAAAACCAAAGAUGCACUAAAACUGUUUGAUGAAUUGCCUGGGAGAAAUGUGGUCUCGUGGAAUAUUGUGAUCCACCACGUUAUUGGAUUUGGAAAUGCAAAUGACUUGAAUCCUCAUCUGGGGUUUUCUUAUUGUUGUUGGAAAAGGUGGCUCCAGAUGAUGUAACAUUGAAUGGUUUGAUUGGUGUAUGUGCAAAGCUUCAUGAUAUCGAAAUUGGAGUACAACUGCACUGUUUUGCAAUGAAAAGAGGACUUGAUUUGGAUUGUUUUGUAGGUAGUGCUUGAAAUCAGUUCUUGAAAUCAAUUCCAAUUCAAGCUGAAUCAAA